rnacentral:rRNA from 1 species
UACGUAGGGUGCAAGCAUUAAUCGGAUUUAUUGGGCGUAAAGGGCGCGUAGGCGGGGAUGUAAGUCAGAUGUGAAAUCCCGGGGCUCAACCCCGGAACAGCAUUUGAAACUACAUUUCUAGAGGGUAGGCGGAGAAAACGGAAUUCCACAAGUAGCGGUGAAAUGCGUAGAUAUGUGGAAGAACACCGGUGGCGAAGGCGGUUUUCUAGCUUAUACCUGACGCUAAUGCGCGAAAGCAAGGGGAGCAAACAGG